GAUGAAGAACGUAGCAAAAUGCGAUAAGUAAUGUGAAUUGCAGAAUUCAGUGAAUCAUCGAAUCUUUGAACGCACAUUGCGCCCGCUGGUAUUCCGGCGGGCAUGCCUGUUCGAGCGUCAUUUCAACCCUCAAACCCCCGGGUUUGGUGUUGGGGAUCGGCUCUGCCUCACGGCGGUGCCGCCCCCGAAAUACAUUGGCGGUCUCGCUGCAGCCUCCAUUGCGUAGUAGCUAACACCUCGCAACUGGAACGCGGCGCGGCCAUGCCGUAAAACCCCAACUUCUGAAUGGUGACCUCGGAUCAGGUAGGAAUACCCGCUGAACUUAAGCAUAUCAAUAAGCGGAGGA
rnacentral:misc_RNA from 1 species